rnacentral:tRNA from 1 species
GGUAUGUAGCUCCAUGGUAGAGUGCUUGCUUUGCACGCAUGAAGCCUUGGGUUCAAUCCCCAGUACCA